rnacentral:lncRNA from 1 species
CCCCUGGCGGUUUACGUUUAUUUCCUCUGGCUCCUACUGAUUAGAGGUGGGGAAUAGCCACUCACCAAGGUUUCCGCUUGCAAGUAUGCUUUUAAAUACUUGACCAGGACUCCUUAACCUGCACGUACUCAGACCUAAUAAUUUUAGAAACAUUUUACACAGUUGCUUGCUUGAUCGCAAUCUUUUCUAACUGUUCUAUAAUCUCUGCUGCCUGACCACAGCUGCCCUCUCCCUCCAGCACUCCCCUCUCCUUUCUAGGCACCCCACUCUCUGCCCUACCUACGAAACUUUUCCAUCUUCAGUGCACCAACAUUUGAGCAGCUGUACAAGCACAAAAUAUUUAAUUUGGGAACAGUGUGUGGGAAGGAAUGCUUUGUUAGUUUCCAAAGUAAUGCAAAGCUUAAUUUAGAAAGUCAUUUAACCAUUUUUUUUUUUUUGGUUCUGGAAGUCACAGAGAUUAUGGAUUGCACUGCAGAGGCAGCCUGCCUGAUGAUGUUAGCACUUUGCAGCACCGGGUUUUUCUGCAGCAGUUUCAUUUUUAUUCCUGCUAAGAGACACAAUGGCUUGCAGACAUUUGUUCCAACCACUUUGGAAAAACAUUUCCAGAAUCAUCCCCAGCGCUGGCGGCACAGCAGCAUCCUCAUUCGUAUGCUGCUGCUUUGUCUGGAGAAAGGCAUGCGGCAACGCUAUUCCUAACCUCUCCCCACUGCGGUAAGCAGCCAUUCGGAUUGGAUCCCACAUCCUCUCCUGCGCAUUUUGCUUUUCUGGCUGUCUGUCUUGCUGUGUGCUCCCAAUGUCGAGUCUGCAAGUGAGU